ensembl:lncRNA
UGUCUGGUUCAUAGUUUCUGUCGCGCUGCAUCUUGUUGUGUGAAUACUGGAGGACGAUUUAAAAUGACCUUUGGCACUGGGACCAGUUUAACCAUUGAACCCAGUAAGUAACGAUAUCAUUUAUUAAUAGUUAUUAUGCCAACGUUCUUUGGAAACGAAACUGACUUGUGAAAUGAAAACAGUCAACAUAUAGAUCACAAAUAUUUAAAAUUAACUCUAUUCACCAGGACUCACUGAUCAUGAUAUCAGAAAAAGUAAACCGGAAUAAUCAAUUAGCAUUAAUUAACGACAUCAACAAUUUCUACUGUAGAGAAAACAUUUGAAAUCUAAAAACGCCUUUUUUCUGAAUGGAGUCUGGUUGUGUUUGUGUUGUGGGUAAAUCAAUACAAGAUCAUCUUUGGAGACGGAACCAGUUCAAACAUUGAACCCAGUAAGUUCUGAUAAUAUAGAUUUUAUAGUAUAGAUGUUACAUAUAUAUAAAUACACACAUAACCCAGAGUUUAUAGAAUCAAAAUCAAUACAUCAAACCUCACUGAUAUUAAUCAAUACUUAGAGCAUCGUCACUUUGACAGUAAGGCCCGCUCUAUUCAUAACAUAUAUGGUAUGUAAAUAUUUUAUGAAUAAAGUACCAACACCAUCUUAUAUGUAAUAAUAAUAUGUAUCAUAUAUAAUAAUAAUUCAGAUGAAAGUAUGACAUGUUAAAUGGGGGAUCUCAGUGGAGUCUGGUGGAGUUUGUGUCCUGAUGCUUCUUACUGUGUGAAUACUGGAAACAGGUUGAUCUUUGGAACUGGCACCAGUUUAACCAUUGAACCCAAGACCGUGUCCAAGCCGUCCUUCUACAAGCUGUCGGGCGACGGCACGUCGGCGUGUUUGGCGUCAGACUUCAGCCGGAAGAAAGCGGCCGAGGAGCAGCACGCCAUCUUCAGCCGCAGCGCGGCGGUGUUGGUCGAAAAAGUGUCACUGUACAACCAGCUGGUCCUGUUGACCUCUGAGGGGGAGGAGGAGGCGUGUGAGCAGGCUGAAGACGACUCUGAUGUCUGUGGAGAACCUGUUAAACCAGAUGGGAGGGUGAAUCUGAUGUCUGUCACCAUGUUGGGUCUCCGGCUGCUUUUCUUCAAAACCGUAGUGUUCAAUGUGCUGAUGACUCUGAGGCUGUGGAUCAGUCAGUGAACUCUGCAGCGCUUCAGGAGACAAUCUGAUCAUCUUCUUCUUUAAUGUCCAAAUUUAACAUCAUCAUUCAUAAUUCAUGUGUUCACGUCUUCAUACUGUAAAACAUGAACGGCUUAUAAGUGUUGUUGAUGAUCUUGUUGCUGUAAAUAUCACAGUUAUUACAAUUAGUUAGUCAUUCAAUUGUUUUAUUCAGUUUAAUACUUUUCAUACAUGCAACUGUUUAAACAAAUACAUAUGUGAAAAUAAAGACUGAAACAAAAAGAAUCAUCAUUGUUGUGACUUUAAUCUGAACCAACUCUAGAUCUUUAUAACUAUUUUUUGGAGUCUGUAUGUGAAAUAAUACUAAGGAUUGUUACUAUAAUACUUAUUAUUGAGCUAUUAUUAUUAAUAUUAUGACAAAAAGCGAAACAAUAAAAAAAUAUCAUAACAUUUCUCCCUCGUUUAAGUACCAAAGUACCAAAAGGCAUAAUGCAGAAUAAUAGAUUAUGUUGUAAUAAAUUACUUUUAUUCUGUUGGUAGUUUAACGAUACAUUAGCUUGAUGAUAUAAUAAUUAUAUAUAUAAAUAAAUACACGGACACUUCACACGAGACAAAGGACACAAGGUCACAGAUAUUUAACUCACGGCAGAGUUUUUUCCACAGGAACUGAGUGUGUUAAUUAAUGUGUUAUAUGUAUGUAUAAAUAUACACGUAUAUACACUUCUCAUAUAAGGCACGAUGUGUUGGUUAGCACUGCUUGCUCUCUGUAUGCAGUUGGCAUGUUCUCUUGUGGGACGUAAUGAUCUCCUUUGGUAAAGGGUGGGCCAGUGGUUCCUAUCCUAAAGGAGCUAAGUAAGGAAGCAUUGAAGCUCCUUUCCUUAGCUUUAGAUACAUAGAAGGCUGGAUGUCUCGUCCCCGCUGGCGGCCAACGGAGUUGUACGGCUGCACAUGGCGGUGGUGGUGUGUGGAGUCAGUAGUUUCAGUGGUGGAGGUGUGUGUGUGUGUGUGUGUGUGUAGUGUUGUGUAGUGUCAGGACAAACCAUGCACUUUACCAACAGCAACCAGGCAACCAUAUUAGUAACAACCCCAUUAGUAAUAUACCAGUGAAAUAUAUAGUAUAAAUACUAUAUGAUAGUAUAAUACAACUAAAGUCUCUCUCGUUGUGCUUCACUCCACGGAUGCUGUCCACCACCUGGACUCUGACUUAAAUGAGUUUUAUCUUUAUUUAGCAAUCAGGAAUCAGGAAACAUUUAUUGCCAAAAUAUGUCAAACAUACAAGGAAUCUGACUUGUUGGUUGGUGCGUGACAGCAGACAGUGUGACAAUAGACAACAAUGAAAUAAAAUAAAAUAAAAUGCUAAUUUAAUUAUUAACCACUAACAUAUAAACACAUCAUAUUACUCACGAGGGUUCACAUUCAUCCUACAUAGAAGUCGAAAUAGACAAUGAAGUUACACAGUCAGAAGCCCUGACAGGUGAACACCAACAACCUCUUCAAGAAGACAACAACACCCCUCAGAAAUACCACAUUCAUAUCACUUCAGUCCCCGUUUUCCCUCAAACCCUUCAGGGCUCCUCGUACGAGGCCAACUGGUUGGGCGGAUGAGAUGACGUAGUUCAGGCUUUUCGGUUCCUAGAAGCAGGUUUGUCUAAAUCACCACAGCAACACAUCAGAAGACUUCAUCUGAGCUGCUGGACCAGUUCAUCAGUCCUGUCUCUCAUACUGUCCCACACUGUNNNNNNNNNNCUCACAUACUGUCCCACACUGUCUCACAUACUGUCCCGCACUGUCUCACAUACUGUCCCACACUGUCUCACAUACUGUCCCGCACUGUCUCUCAUACUGUCCCACAGACUGUCUCUCAUACUGUCUCAGACUGUCUCUCAUACUGUCCCACACUGUCUCACAUACUGUCCCACAGACUGUCUCUCAUACUGUCUCAGACUGUCUCACAUACUGUCCCACACUGUCUCACAUACUGUCCCACACUGUCUCACAUACUGUCCCGCACUGUCUCUCAUACUGUCUCAGACUGUCUCUCAUACUGUCCCACAGACUGUCUCUCAUACUGUCUCACACUGUCUCUCAUACUGUCCCACACUGUCUCUCAUACUGUCUNNNNNNNNNNCAGACUGUCUCUCAUACUGUCCCACAGACUGUCUCUCAUACUGUCCCACAGACUGUCUCUCAUACUGUCCCACACACUGUCUCUCAUACUGUGGAGCAGAAGAACUGAACGCUGCUUCUUGUUUAGUUCUGACUGGGAGCAGAAAGUGGACCCUCAUAACGAUUCAUUUGUAUCCAUUAGAUUAGAUGAUGAAUUCCAUGAAGCCUCCUGCCAGCAGACACAUUUAAAGAAAUAUAAUCUGAUGAUGUCCUUAAAUGAGCCGUUACAUUUUACCAACACGCAUGACGUUAACUUGUGUGAUACUUUGUCGUGCUUGUAGCCUCGCAGGGGGACGCUGUCAGUCUUUAACAUGAUUAUAUGAUCACUUUUAUUUUUUUUUCUAUCGCACAAUAUCGCAAAUUUUCCUCAUGUGUCUUUACAGUGUGAACACAUGUGACGUCCUAUGUUCAGAAACCUUCACAUCGACAGGAAAAACUCCCCAAACAAUGAAAAGUAUUUGAUGGGGAGAAUAAAGGGACGAAACCUUUAGAGACACAGGACGAUCGUCCCUGGGACGGACAGACUGCGAUGGACGUACACAAUGAACAACGUCAAGAUGCACAAAACGUUCAAUUCAUCCGACAGAAAUGAUUGUCUCCUUAAAUGCGCUCAUCGUCUCCUGCUCGUGUCAUGUUAAUGUUUGUCUUCGUGGGCUGUUGAUCGUCACACUGUGACCCGGCUGUGGUCGGAUGCUCGCGGCGUUUCACAAAAAGAGAGAAUGUAAACGUACGUUUGAAUGUUAGUCAUAAUAGUCACGUCUCCAUGGCAACAUCCUGUGGCAACAUCCUGUGGAGGCGGUUGUGGCUGCUGCUGCUUUCAGUUUCCACAGGAAGUGGAAGGAGCCGCUCGACGCGUCACAGGCGGCUCGCCUCAAAGGCUGCUGGGACAGGAUGUGCGUGUGGGCGGCGGGGGGGGGGGGGGGGCAUCAGGUGCGGCCUCAGAAGCAUCGUGAGAACACAGUUCACAGGCCUAAAUAUAAAUGAUAUGAACGUUAAACUUGUUACUAUCAUAUUUUCAGGCAUCUCGAAAACACUUUAUAGAUGAUUAAUAUUACCACAAUUAUAUUUAAUUAUAUUUCAUUAUGAUAUUUUGAUCCUUUAAAUUAUUACAUAAAAUGUUAUAUUUUACAGACAAGUUAUUCUCUAACAGCAAUAAAAGUAACAACAGAAGAAACAAAACCAUCAGAUCAACUGAAAGCUAUAGCAUUAUUAUUAUUGUUAUUAAUGUAAAUUAUCAGGAGGCAAACACUCAUCAUUUUGUUCUUUUAUUGUGAUGAUGAUAAAUUAAGUCAGACAUUACAACAAUAAUAAUAUUACUACUAACAAUACUAAUAUUAACAUGAUUAAUGAUUAACACGUUAAUUAAUUAACGUGAUUAAGUCACUUAAUAACCUUUUUUAAUAUUUAGAUAGCACACAUUCACCUUAGCAAUAGUACAAUAGUGUCAGCAGAAAGUAUGAUGAGUAACAGCGGCCUCUUAUAUGAAUACAUUGAUAUAGUUAUUUAUGCAUAUCAAGAGCAUCAUUUCAAAACUUCAUAGAGGGCCCCUCGUUCUGUGUGGGGAGGAAAUAUUGUGCAUAUUCUGUUAUUUUGGGGCCACAAAUGAAUGUUAGAUUGAUAAACGUUAUUGAGCCACAUGGCGCAUGACGGGAACACUCUUCCCUCAGCGAGGAAAAUAAAUUGAAAUAAAAGUUCUAUGAUUGACCCACGGUGAAGGUGAAGGUGACCUAAUGUGACCUCUGUGUGUGUGUGUGUGUGUUUGUAGGUGUGUGUGUGUGCAGUUUUCUGCAGCUUUGCUACCGACAGGAAGUCAGCAGCAGGAUGUGCACAAGGUGAAGAAGAAACGAGGUCACCAUGUUUCCACGUGUGGUGGAAAAACAUCUGCAGAUGUUUUAUAACUCUUCAGGAAGAUGAAAUAAAUCACACACACACAUAUAUAUAUAUAAGUACUUAUAUGAAUAUUUGUACAUGCGCAUAUGUAUAUAUUAUAUUAACAAUAUAUGUAUACAAAGAUAACAUAUUGUAAUAUAUUUACAUACCAACAAAUAGGAAUAUUUUAUAUAUAUAUAUAUAUAUAUAUAUAUGUUAUGGGCGUUUUACAUGCUGUUUGCACUUAAAUGCUUUACUAAAUACAACAAUAAUAGCUAUUAGCAUUAUGGUCUGUUGUAAAGUAGCUAUUACGUGAUUGUACACUGAUUAUACGCCAUAGAAAACUCCAGUUUUUCUAACAUAUCUGAGUAGAACAGAAGACGUCUGACACGUUACAACGCUCAUGAUAAACUCAUGUGUGUGAUAGUUCACAGAUGGCGUCAGUGCGCUGACCCCACAAACAACAGGUGAUUAAAAGACGGAAGAGAUGCUAAUGCUUAUAGGUUGUCAGCGUUAUAUCCCGUCUCUGAUUGGAGUCAGGUGCUUCCUGAAGGUGGCGCUCUGCAGGCUCCCCAUCGCUGACACCACAGCACCACCUAACGACUUCUCUCAGGAACUGUUUACCUGGACUGAAGGAAGUCACUUCUGUGAGGACGGUUGACCAGUAGGACCCUUAAAGUCAUUGGAUUCUCACCUUUAUUCAUCCAGGAGAACCGCUGAAGAAAAAAACAUCUGACAUGGAAGAGACGAACAAAGGGCAUCACUGAGGAGUCCACAUCUCAGAAGAGACCCAACAGGGCUCCGAUUGGACCAGAGGAGGUGGACUCUGAGUUCACAUCCUGAGUCAAGGCUGUCGUCUGUGUCGUCGUGGCGACGCACUCGUUUCACUUCCUGGUUCUAAAAGUCUUGCGCGUGUUUCAAAGCAAUUCACCUCCAGAACAACAG